GGUCAAGCAAAUCCCAUAAAGUUGUUCUCAGUUCGGAUUGUAGUCUGCAACCCGACUAUAUGAAGCUGGAAUCGCUAGUAAUCGUAGAUCAGCAUGCUACGGUGAAUACGUUCCCGGGUCUUGUACACACCGCCCGUCACACCACGAGAGUUUGUAACACCCGAAGCCGGUGGAGUAACCAUUUGGAGCUAGCCGUCGAAGGUGGGACAAAUGAUUGGGGUGAAGUCGUAACAAGGUAGCCGUAUCGGAAGGUGCGGCUGGAUCACCUCCUUUCUAAGGA
rnacentral:rRNA from 1 species